CUCGGGGGUGUGGAAAUCAAUUUUUUUUUCUACUUGUCCACAGACAAGUAAACUUAGAAAAUCCACUUGUCCGCCAGUUAAAUUCACUUGCCCAUAAACAAAUAACAAAAGUGAAAAAUAGUUUAUUUUUUCUGAUCUCUUUUAUUGAUACCAAAACUGCCUUCCAUUUUAAAACUGAAGAAAGUUCUUUCAUGGAGUAGGAUUUUGCCACCUUGCUCUAGAACAUUAUAUAAAAGAUUCCCUUAUCAUUUAAACUCACUAAUAAACAAUGCCUUCAUUAUAGCUACACUAGUUCUGUUUCACAUAUUACAGUUACAUAACAGAACACUGUCCUGAUUCAUUUUCUGCCAUGUUCUUCAGCUUUUGUCUUACAACAUCUUCUCCCCCAAGAAUCUUUACCAUCUCAGACAGCAUGGGCUGAAUGCUGUUCAUUUCUGCUUGAGCUGAACUGCAUGGUUCCUGGACUGAUCGUCCUGCAGAAUAAAUAUUACCGAUGUUGUCGGGAAAAAAUAAUCGCGUCUAAGUGAAGAUUUUUAUAGAUAUUUCAUAACAUUUGGAAAACGUUUGAAUGUUUUCUUCUUUAUUU